rnacentral:rRNA from 1 species
AACGAACGCUGGCGGCAUGCCUAACACAUGCAAGUCGAACGAGACCUUCGGGUCUAGUGGCGCACGGGUGCGUAACGCGUGGGAACCUGCCCUUAGGUUCGGAAUAACUCCCCGAAAGGGGUGCUAAUACCGGAUAAUGUCUUCGGACCAAAGAUUUAUCGCCGUUGGAUGGGCCCGCGUUGGAUUAGCUAGUUGGUAGGGUAAAAGCCUACCAAGGCGACGAUCCAUAGCUGGUCUGAGAGGAUGAUCAGCCACACUGGGACUGAGACACGGCCCAGACUCCUACGGGAGGCAGCAGUGGGGAAUAUUGGACAAUGGGCGAAAGCCUGAUCCAGCAAUGCCGCGUGAGUGAUGAAGGCCUUAGGGUUGUAAAGCUCUUUUACCCGGGAUGAAAAUGACAGUACCGGGAGAAUAAGCUCCGGCUAACUCCGUG